GUCAGGUGGUAGACAUCUUUUGGAGGUCACCAUUUGCACAUUCUGUGAAAAACAUAUUUUUUGGCUAAAAAUAUUUUAGCAUGUGCAGUUCCUAUUAUAAUGUGUCUUAAGUGGGAGAUAGCUCAAGACUAGUGGCUGGUGUAAAAUCUCAAAGGCAGCUACUGUUUGCAAAGAAAGUGCUUCUUAAAGAUAUGUACAAUGGGAAAACAAGCUACUACUAAGCAAAAAUGUGGUUUUCUUUGCCUGCCUAUAUGAGAUGGAGCAUUUUUAAUCGACAAAAGAAAAAAAAGUAUAAUGAAGAAGAUUAUAUAGCAUCAAAGUCUCGAGGAGAACAACUGUUACACAUGGUAUUAGAAGAAGAAAGUCUGAUAUGUUAAACAUGGUUAAUAGCACUCUGGGCAUGUACUCAAGGAAACUGAAGUAUUAGUAUCUAUUUGGAAAAUCAUUUUAACACAGAGUUUUAUUUUAAGAGAGGCUUAAAAGUAACUCUUCAGCACUUACUUGUGCAGUCUGCCCUGACUGUAAAGGUUAAGGUAAGGAUAUCAUCUUUAUUAUCUGUUCAGUUUUAUUUCUUUUGGUUUUGUAUAUCGUUUAAUGUGAAUUUAUUAACUCAAUAUGGACCUUCAUGAGAUUUGAAAGUAUGAUUAGAAAAUCAGGUUAGAGAGGUAAUAUUUGUAACAUAAUUUAAGUGUAUGUGAAUUCUUAUUUUAGGUAUUCUUGAAUGUUGAUAAUACUUGACAACAGUAUUGCCCAAGGGUGAUUGUAAUCUGGGUGUAUUAAAAUCCAUUUUGUUUGUCUUUAAGAGAAACUUUAUUCCAUUUAACUUGAAUAAAAAUAUGCUUUCAUUUGCCAUCAGAUUAAUUAAGUUGUCUAAAGAUAUCUUAUAAUACUGUGGAUUCUUCAGGUACAUCACUAGAAAAAUGUAAUGUUUGUUUAUAAGAAGGAUCCAAAAUGCAUACUGAAAUUUUGAAAGACACAGAAACAUUUACAAGAGGAUUGGUACAUUUUUCUGAAACAUCUUGCCCACAAUUAUUUAUUGAGUCAUGCUAGUCUAUUUUCUGCACUUCUAAGGGCAAAAAAAUUCCAGCCAUCACUUUGGUUUUGCAUAAUUUAUACUCAAGCAGGGUUAUCCAGCACUAAUUACCUAUCCCCAUCUUAAUUACCAACUUAACAAUAGAUGACAUCAUACUGACUAAACCUGCACUUUUCCUUCUAAUUUUGUGAGUGGUCAGAAUUUAACUCCUAUAUAUAAAGUACACCUUGCAUCAAGUAUUGGAAACUACAGAGGAUAUGGUCAGUUAUGAUGUCAAUAAAACUAAACUCUGGCUGCUGCUGCACUGGAAAAGCUAAAUCCUACUUAUUGCUAGGUAUAAAACUCCAUGUGUAUAUGUACAAUGCUGAUAUAACCAUUAUUUCUUACAAACUAGUGGACAAAAUGGUCAAGAGUAAUGUUCAAACAAAUGAUAGACUUAACCAGGUAAAUUAUUUGUAUCACAAAUGGCUUCAAAACCUUUGAGGCAAAUUUUAAAAUCUUUUAAACUUUUAAGUUUUCUACUUAUUGAAAUCUCUGAUCUUGCAUUUGCAAUGUUUAUUUCUUUGGAAAUUCCUUAUAGAGUAAAAAUAUAUGCACUUAAAACUUUGAAUGCAAUGUUUCACAAGUUCAGAAAUUAAAUUUCUGCACUUCUAAUUUGACAAAAUCUUGUUAUUAAAUGUCAGAACGUAUGUAUGUACUUCUUGAGAAAAUCCACUCACACAGUGAUGUUUUACAUUCAUUUGAGGUAAAGAUUUGCAAACUUUACAUAACGUUUUUGCUGGAUGAAAGUAUAUAUUUUAAAUUAUAAAAAAGUUUAUAAAGUGCUAGACACUAUUACUGACUUUUCCAAAUCUAAUGAAUUUUUGUCCUCUCAUCCAAAGAAAUUAAAAAGCUUUUAUCCCAUCAAUCACUUGAAUAGUCUUGUAAACUUCAAUAAAAUUUCCUUUUACCUUUCUUUUCUCAAGAGGGAAGAAGUUAACAGUUCUUAACAUAUCCCUCAAGGUAACCCUUUUCCUUGAAUCAACCUAAUAUUCCUCCUCUGGACACUUCACAAAAAGACAAAAGACAGUAUCUUUGCUUAGAUAAAGAGAUAAAAAAUAUAGACAGUAUUUCAAAUUAGGCCUAACUAAUGAUUUCUAUAAAGAAAUAAUUAUGUCUUUUGACUUGCAAUCAAUAUAUCUAUAAAUAAAUCCCAUAAUUCUAUAAAGUUAGCUUUACUAUGAUGACUUGAAUGACUUAUCAAAAUAUUUUUCUCCAGUCAUACUCUUGAGUGGGUUCACAAAUGUUAUCUUGUAUUUACAGUUAUUAAAGACCUCUUGUCAAACAUUCUUCCAUCUUACCAAUUGUAAUACCUCGUCAUCUUCAGUACAGCUAGAAAUACUCAAGAGUUUAAUCAUCAGCAAUGUUUACUAACUGGUUAGUUAUUUCUCUUUCAGUAUUGUUAAUGUAAAUAAGAAAAACCAAAGGAUCAAGCAUUGAUCCUCAUAACACACCCACAACUAAUAACAAAAGUCCAGUAUGUCAGGACUCCAUUAACAACUUUUUGCUUUUUCUCACCCAGCCACCCUACUCUAAUUAAGAAGUUUUUCUCCCAACCUCCACUGAUGUGAUUUUCUUAGCUAAUCUUCUGUGUGAUACCUCAUCACAGUUUUUUUCUUUCAUCUAAGUGCACCAAUUUCACAUUCUCUCCAUUGCCAGAUAAGUAAUUUUUUCAAUACAAAACCUAUUCUUCAUAGAGUUCUCUAUAAAUAUUUACUUUU
rnacentral:lncRNA from 1 species